GACGAACGCUGGCGGCGUGCCUAAUACAUGCAAGUUGAGCGAUGAAGAUUGGUGCUUGCACCAAUUUGAAGAGCAGCGAACGGGUGAGUAACGCGUGGGGAAUCUGCCUUUGAGCGGGGGACAACAUUUGGAAACGAAUGCUAAUACCGCAUAACAACUUUAAACAUAAGUUUUAAGUUUGAAAGAUGCAAUUGCAUCACUCAAAGAUGAUCCCGCGUUGUAUUAGCUAGUUGGUGAGGUAAAGGCUCACCAAGGCGAUGAUACAUAGCCGACCUGAGAGGGUGAGCGGCCACAAUGGGACUGAGACACGGCCCAAACGCCUACGGGAGGCAGCAGGAGGGAAUCUUCGGCAAUAGACGAAAGUCUGACCGAGCAACGCCGCGUGAGUGAAGAAGGUUUUCGGAUCGUAAAACUCUGUUGGUAGAGAAGAACGUUGGUGAGAGUGGAAAGCUCAUCAAGUGACGGUAACUACCCAGAAAGGGACGGCUAACUACGUG
rnacentral:rRNA from 1 species